CGGCGGAAGGAGGAAAACAAAAACUGGUAGCUUUUCAAACCUCUGCUUCACAGCAUCAGGGAAGGAGCAGAUUAAAGAGAAGCAAGUCAAUCUCGACUGCCGACAGGAGGCAAAGGGGCACUGGAGAAGGGAUUGUCUGGACUUGAAGAGAAGUGAAUUUCCACCCACCCCUCCAGUCUCCCAACUGACUGUGGACCAGAAUGCAUGAUGAAGACCAGAGGAUUCUACCCCAGCAGAACCUCUGGAGAACCAUGGAGAGAUCCCCACAGAGACUGAGAAUGCUGUCAUCCCUAUAGUGUGGGCUAACAAUUAUCCUGGGAGGUCCAAACAAACAGAACCCGUACGCAUCACACUCAAGCCAGGAGCAACACCGGACAGCCAAGAGCUUUUUGCUUUUGAAUGGGAAAAUCCUGAAACAGGGAGAAGAACCCAACUGACAUGGACGGUUCUACCCCAGGACUACAAGAAUAACCUGACAAUAUUGGGAAACCAACUGGCGGAAGAACUGGAG